rnacentral:lncRNA from 1 species
AUAGCCUUGGCUUAGCUGGUCAAGUUGUUGCCAUGUGACCCGAGCCAUGGGAACAACCUCUUGCAGAAAUACCGAAUAAAGCUGCGUAAGAUAGGCCCUUAUGAUCUGGCCCUUUCCCGAAUCCUUCGCAUAGCAUAAGCUUAGUGCAUCAAGCUGUUCUUUUUUACUGUGCCCAUAACCUCUCUCGCCUCUGCCAAAAAGUUUCUUAUUCCCAAAACUCAGAACAUGAUAUAUUUAUUUUAGAACGAAGAAAACCAUUGUAGCUAGCAUAAUCCUUACUAUUUUGG